rnacentral:misc_RNA from 1 species
GAUGAAGAACGUAGCGAAAUGCGAUAAGUAAUGUGAAUUGCAGAAUCCAGUGAAUCAUCGAAUCUUUGAACGCACAUUGCGCCCGCCAGCAUUCUGGCGGGCAUGCCUGUUCGAGCGUCAUUUCAACCCUCGACCUCCCUUUGGGGAAGUCGGCGUUGGGGACCGGCAGCACACCGCCGGCCCUGAAAUGGAGUGGCGGCCCGUCCGCGGCGACCUCUGCGUAGUAAACCAACUCGCACCGGAACCCCGACGUGGCCACGCCGUAAAACACCCAACUUCUGAACGUUGACCUCAAAUCGGGUAGGACUACCCGCUGAACUUAAGCAUAUCAAUAAGCGGAGGA